UCAGGUAUUGGAGAUGAGGGUGCAAGGGUUAUUGCAGAUAUGCUGAAAGAAAAUCAAACUUUACGUGUACUGGAACUUAACAAUAAUAUGAUUGAAUAUUCUGGUUUUGCAAGUCUUGCUGGAGCACUAGUUGAGAAUAAGGCAAUUCGAUCUAUACAUCUCAAGCUAAUAAGACUUACACACACUUAGAUUUUCUAUCCAUGCAGUUCUUUCUUGCAGAUUUAAUUUCUUCAUCAGAUCUGUUGGCUUUCCAGUAUUUAUUGAUUGUACUACUUCUCAGCAAUUAUGUAAAACUAUAUUUCUUCUUGUUUAGGAAAAAUAACACUUCUAGAUAUUGGCAACAAUGAGAUUGGUCCCAAAGGCGCCUUUAGCAUCGCUGAGUUUGUUAAGAAAACUAAGUCCUUGCUAUGGCUGAAUCUUUACAUGAAUGACAUUGGCGAUGCGGUGUGGUUAUUGACUAUUGUUGC